GAUGAACGCUAGCUACAGGCCUAACACAUGCAAGUCGAGGGGCAGCAUUAUUUGUAGCAAUACAGAUAGAUGGCGACCGGCGCACGGGUGAGUAACGCGUAUCCUACCUUCCCCUGUCUCGGGUAUAGCCUUCCGAAAGGGAGAUUAAUCCCCGAUGGCGUCAAGAGGCCGCAUGGCAUCCUGACUAAAGCGUAAGCGGACAGGGCUGGGGGUGCGUCCCAUUAGGUAGUUGGCGGGGUAACGGCCCACCAAGCCAACGAUGGGUAGGGGUUCUGAGAGGAAGGCCCCCCACAUUGGAACUGAGACACGGUCCAAACUCCUACGGGAGGCAGCAGUGAGGAAUAUUGGUCAAUGGCCGAGAGGCUGAACCAGCCAAGUAGCGUGGAGGAUGACUGCCCUACGGGUUGUAAACUCCUUUUAUAAGGGGGUAAAGGCGUCUACGUGUAGAUGUUUGCAAGUACCUUAUGAAUAAGCAUCGGCUAACUCCGUGCCAGCAGCCGCGGUAAUACGGAGGAUGCGAGCGUUAUCCGGAUUCAUUGGGUUUAAGGGUGCGUAGGUGGCCCGUUAAGUCAGCGGUGAAACCCUGUCGCUCAACGAUAGGCGUGCCGUUGAAACUGGUGGGCUUGAGUGUGUAUGGGGCGGGCGGAACGCGUGGUGUAGCGGUGAAAUGCAUAGAUAUCACGCGGAACCCCGAUCGCGAAGGCAGCCCGCCAAUCCACUACUGACACUGAGGCACGAGAGCGUGGGGAUCGAACAGGAUUAGAUACCCUGGUAGUCCACGCCGUAAACGAUGAUCACCAGGGGUUUGCGAUAGAGUGUAAGCCCCCGAGCGAAAGCGUUAAGUGAUCCACCUGGGGAGUACGCCGGCAACGGUGAAACUCAAAGGAAUUGACGGGGGCCCGCACAAGCGGAGGAACAUGUGGUUUAAUUCGAUGAUACGCGAGGAACCUUACCCGGGCUUGAACUGCAGCGGAAUGGUUUGGAAACAGAUCAGCGAGCAAUCGCCGCUGUGGAGGUGCUGCAUGGUUGUCGUCAGCUCGUGCCGUGAGGUGUCGGCUUAAGUGCCAUAACGAGCGCAACCCUUACCGAUAGUUGCCAUCAGGUAACGCUGGGGACUCUAUCGGGACUGCCGUCGUAAGAUGUGAGGAAGGUGGGGAUGACGUCAAAUCAGCACGGCCCUUACGUCCGGGGCUACACACGUGUUACAAUGGGGGGUACAGCAGGCCGCUACCAGGCGACUGGAUGCCAAUCCCUAAAACCCCUCUCAGUUCGGACUGGAGUCUGCAACCCGACUCCACGAAGCUGGAUUCGCUAGUAAUCGCGCAUCAGCCACGGCGCGGUGAAUACGUUCCCGGGCCUUGUACACACCGCCCGUCAAGCCAUGAAAGCCGGGGGUACCUGAAGUGCGUAACCGCAAGGAGCGCCCUAGGGUAAAACUGGUGAUUGGGGCUAGAUGAACGCUAGCUACAGGCCUAACACAUGCAAGUCGAGGGGCAGCAUUAUUUGUAGCAAUACAGAUAGAUGGCGACCGGCGCACGGGUGAGUAACGCGUAUCCUACCUUCCCCUGUCUCGGGUAUAGCCUUCCGAAAGGGAGAUUAAUCCCCGAUGGCGUCAAGAGGCCGCAUGGCAUCCUGACUAAAGCGUAAGCGGACAGGGCUGGGGGUGCGUCCCAUUAGGUAGUUGGCGGGGUAACGGCCCACCAAGCCAACGAUGGGUAGGGGUUCUGAGAGGAAGGCCCCCCACAUUGGAACUGAGACACGGUCCAAACUCCUACGGGAGGCAGCAGUGAGGAAUAUUGGUCAAUGGCCGAGAGGCUGAACCAGCCAAGUAGCGUGGAGGAUGACUGCCCUACGGGUUGUAAACUCCUUUUAUAAGGGGGUAAAGGCGUCUACGUGUAGAUGUUUGCAAGUACCUUAUGAAUAAGCAUCGGCUAACUCCGUGCCAGCAGCCGCGGUAAUACGGAGGAUGCGAGCGUUAUCCGGAUUCAUUGGGUUUAAGGGUGCGUAGGUGGCCCGUUAAGUCAGCGGUGAAACCCUGUCGCUCAACGAUAGGCGUGCCGUUGAAACUGGUGGGCUUGAGUGUGUAUGGGGCGGGCGGAACGCGUGGUGUAGCGGUGAAAUGCAUAGAUAUCACGCGGAACCCCGAUCGCGAAGGCAGCCCGCCAAUCCACUACUGACACUGAGGCACGAGAGCGUGGGGAUCGAACAGGAUUAGAUACCCUGGUAGUCCACGCCGUAAACGAUGAUCACCAGGGGUUUGCGAUAGAGUGUAAGCCCCCGAGCGAAAGCGUUAAGUGAUCCACCUGGGGAGUACGCCGGCAACGGUGAAACUCAAAGGAAUUGACGGGGGCCCGCACAAGCGGAGGAACAUGUGGUUUAAUUCGAUGAUACGCGAGGAACCUUACCCGGGCUUGAACUGCAGCGGAAUGGUUUGGAAACAGAUCAGCGAGCAAUCGCCGCUGUGGAGGUGCUGCAUGGUUGUCGUCAGCUCGUGCCGUGAGGUGUCGGCUUAAGUGCCAUAACGAGCGCAACCCUUACCGAUAGUUGCCAUCAGGUAACGCUGGGGACUCUAUCGGGACUGCCGUCGUAAGAUGUGAGGAAGGUGGGGAUGACGUCAAAUCAGCACGGCCCUUACGUCCGGGGCUACACACGUGUUACAAUGGGGGGUACAGCAGGCCGCUACCAGGCGACUGGAUGCCAAUCCCUAAAACCCCUCUCAGUUCGGACUGGAGUCUGCAACCCGACUCCACGAAGCUGGAUUCGCUAGUAAUCGCGCAUCAGCCACGGCGCGGUGAAUACGUUCCCGGGCCUUGUACACACCGCCCGUCAAGCCAUGAAAGCCGGGGGUACCUGAAGUGCGUAACCGCAAGGAGCGCCCUAGGGUAAAACUGGUGAUUGGGGCUA
rnacentral:rRNA from 1 species